rnacentral:lncRNA from 1 species
GAUGAUGAUGCCAUUGUGGAUUUCAGUUUUCCUCUAAGUCCAAAUUUGAAUAUUGACAGCCGUUUAUUUUCGAAAAUUGAUGAGACUGCCGAAGAAGAGACUGAUUUAUUAACUUGUGAUAAAAAGCUUGUACCUUACUCAGAUAGUGAUGGUGAUGAUACUAAUGAUAGUAGUAAUAAUGCCGCAAUAGUAUUUAGUCCAUUAGUUAAUGAUAAGAUAGGUUGUAAUGAUUUUAUACAACAUAAUGAUUCUUUAUUAAACUCCGAAUCAGAUUCAUCAUCCUUUACAGUAUUUCUUAAAAAUGAGACCGAAAUUGACAGCAUUAGUUCUAGCUCAUCAACUGGUUCAAUUUCUAGUAAAACAUCAGGUAGUUCAUCUCAAAGCACUCAACCUGAAGGUAGAGGACAAAA